rnacentral:lncRNA from 1 species
ACUAUAAAAGGGGUCUUGCGUCGGGGUUUAAUUCAUUCAGAUUUUAUUCUUAUCUCUUCUUUCUUACACCUCUCUUCCUAUUGUCCAAUUAGUAUCUUCCUUCCCUUAUUAGGAUAAAUCCAAAAAUAGUAAAGACAAGUCUGAUUUUAGGACAAGGGUCUAGGAAGAGAUAUAAGGAAGAUAAGGAGACAAGAAAGGUAGAGAUAGGAAGGCU